GUACCUGCAGCAGCGCGGUAUACGUAGGCGCGAGCGUGUCCGGAAUUAUUGGGCGUAAAGGGCUCGUAGGCGGCUGGUCGCGUCUGUCGUGAAAUCCUCUGGCUCAACUGGGGGCUUGCGGUGGGUACGGGCUGGCUUGAGUGCGGUAGGGGAGAUUGGAACUCCUGGUGUAGCGGUGGAAUGCGCAGAUAUCAGGAAGAACACCGAUGGCGAAGGCAGGUCUCUGGGCCGUCACUGACGCUGAUGAGCGAGAGCGUGGGGAGCGAACAGGAUUAGAUACCCUGGUAGUCCACGCCGUAAACGUUGGGCACUAGGUGUGGGGUUUGUCUUUAUGGCUGGUUCCGCGCCGUAGCUAACGCAUUAAGUGCCCCGCCUGGGGAGUACGGCCGCAAGGCUAAAACUCAAAGGAAUUGACGGGGCCCCGCACAAGCGGCGGAGCAUGCGGAUUAAUUCGAUGCAACGCGAAGAACCUUACCAAGGCUUGAAAUGCGAGGAAAUCCGGUGGAGACAUCGGGUCGGUUUUGUCCGGUCUCGUGCAGGUGGUGCAUGGUUGUCGUCAGCUCGUGUCGUGAGAUGUUGGGUUAAGUCCCGCAACGAGCGCAACCCUUGUCUUAUGUUGCCAGCGGUUCGGCCGGGGACUCAUGAGAGACUGCCGGGGUUAACUCGGAGGAAGGUGGGGAUGACGUCAAAUCAUCAUGCCCCUUAUGUCUUGGGCUUCACGCAUGCUACAAUGGCCGGUACAGCGGGUUGCGAUGUCGUAAGGCGGAGCGAAUCCCUGAAAGCCGGUCUCAGUUCGGAUUGGGGUCUGCAACUCGACCCCAUGAAGUCGGAGUCGCUAGUAAUCGCGGAUCAGCAACGCCGCGGUGAAUGCGUUCCCGGGGCUUGUACACACCGCCCGUCACGUCAUGAAAGUCGGCAACACCCGAAGCCCGCGGCCUAACCUUUUGGGGGAGCGGUCGAA
rnacentral:rRNA from 1 species